CGACAGAGGAGCAUCUCGGCAGUAAGGAUUUAAAACUUUAACAAGACUCAAACUGACGCAGAGUGAAAGACUGGAUUUUUUUUCCCGAUCAGAUCUUUUCUGGUUCAACCUCCUGCCUGUAGCUGAUCUGAAUUCCUGCUUUCCUUAUCAUACGAGCAAAAUAAAGGCAAACUCCAAACCCAGCGGGGUGGACUAUUGUAAUGGUCUCCUCACCGGCCUUCCCAAGAAGACCAUUAUACAGCUGCAGCUCAUCCAGAAUGCUGCUGCCAGGAUUCUGACUAGAACCAGAACAUCUGAGAUUGUGUUUUGCCCCUGCCUGGAUUCUUGCUGUGUACCUGGAUUAUCUCUCUUUGUCUUGCCCUGUUGGAUACUGUUCGCCGAUCGACGACCCACGCUUGUCCUAGAAUACUCUUUGUCUUGCUUCAUUUAUGUCUGUUUGCUGUGUAUCGACCCUUGCUCGUUUCUGACCAUGUCUAUGAAUAAAGCCCUG